GUGUCAGCCGCCGCGGUAAUACAGAGGUCCCGAGCGUUGUUCGGAUUCACUGGGCGUAAAGGGUGCGUAGGCGGUUGGGCAAGUCUGAUGUGAAAGCCCCGGGCCUAACCCGGGAACGGCAUCGGAAACUACCCGGCUAGAGGGUUGGAGGGGGGAUUGGAAUUCCCGGUGUAGCAGUGAAAUGCGUAGAGAUCGGGAGGAACGCCAGUGGCGAAGGCGAGUCCCUGGACAACCCCUGACGCUGAGGCACGAAAGCUUGGGGAGCAAACAGGAUUAGAAACCCCAGUAGUCC
rnacentral:rRNA from 1 species